rnacentral:rRNA from 1 species
GACGAACGCUGGCGGCGUGCUUAACACAUGCAAGUCGAACGGAAAGGCCCUGCUUUUGUGGGGUGCUCGAGAGGCGAACGGGUGAGUAACACGUGAGUAACCUGCCCUUGACUUUGGGAUAACUUCAGGAAACUGGGGCUAAUACCGGAUAGGAGCUCCUGCUGCACGUGGGGGGUUGGUAAGUUUCGGCGGUUGGGGAUCGUAUAGCGGCUUAUGCGCUGCUUUGUGGGGUAGUGGCGUACCAAGGGUUUGACGGGUAGCCGGCAUGGGAGGGUGACCGGCCACAAUGGGACUGAGGUACGGCCCAGACUCGUACGGGAGGCAGCAGUGGGGAAUAUUGCACAAUGGGCGGAAGCCUGAUGCAGCAACGUCGCGUGCGUGAAGCCGUCCUUCGGGUUGUAAACCGCUUUCGCCGGUGACGAAGCGUGAGUGACGGUAAUGGGUAAAGAAGCACCGGCUAACUACGUG